GAGCCUGCCAAACAUUUCCCAUUCAGGA
rnacentral:piRNA from 1 species